ACAGAGGGUGCGAGCGUUGUCCGGAAUCACUGGGCGUAAAGGGCGCGUAGGCGGCUUGGUAAGCGUGCGGUGAAAGCUCGGGGCUCAACCCCGAGUCGGCCGUGCGAACUGUCGAGCUUGGGCACAGUAGAGGCAGAUGGAAUUCCGGGUGUAGCGGUGGAAUGCGUAGAGAUCCGGAAGAACACCGGUGGCGAAGGCGGUCUGCUGGGCUGUGGCUGACGCUGAUGCGCGACAGCGUGGGGAGCAAACAGGA
rnacentral:rRNA from 1 species